rnacentral:rRNA from 1 species
GACGAACCGAGCGAACGUUGUUCGGAAUCACUGGGCUUAAAGGGCGCGUAGGCGGGCUGUCAAGUCUGGGGUGAAAUCCCACGGCUCAACCGUGGAACUGCCUUAGAUACUGACGGCCUCGAGGGAGAUAGGGGCGAGCGGAACUGUGAGUGGAGCGGUGAAAUGCGUUGAUAUUCACAGGAACUCCGGUGGCGAAGGCGGCUCACUGGCCCGGUACUGACGCUGAGGUGCGAAAGCGUGGGGAGCAAACAGG